GUGACUUUCACAGAAACAGCCUCAUCAUCUCUAAAUGUCUCUUGAUGCAUGAAAACUAUUAAAUCUGAAUUAAUAAUAUAAUCAGAAAGACUCUGUACUGAUCAUCACACAUCUGAACUCAGGGUUUUUGCUCAGAGAGUCACUUUGCAUCGGCUCAUGCUUCAGCGCUCCGAGUGUUUAUAGCGUUCAGACUCAAACACUUUAUAACACACUGCUGUUUACCACGGUACAAACCCAACAAACACCAUGAAUCUCUUCAGCAGCUUCAUCUGGAUUCUGGCAGCUUUUAUUCCAGCAUCCAGAGGAAUCACUGUGACUCAGCCUGAAGCUGUGACUGUUUCUGAAGGACAAAACGCCAAAUAUAGAG